rnacentral:rRNA from 1 species
UGGGGAAUUUUCCGCAAUGGGCGAAAGCCUGACGGAGCAAUGCCGCGUGGGGUGGAAGGCCUACGGGUCGUCAACUUCUUUUCUCGGAGAAGAAACAAUGACGGUAUCUGAGGAAUAAGCAUCGGCUAACUCUGUGCCA